AUGUACUGCCGUGUACACUCCGGUUUCUGCGCUCCGGCGGCCACCGUCAGCCGCCCGCUCGCUACGUAUUCCAGCGGUUUCC
rnacentral:sRNA from 1 species